GGAGAGGGGCUGAAGGUUGAAUCAAACACCAAUGGCCAAUGAUUUAAUCAGUCGUGCCUACAUAAUGAAGCCUGAGCUACAGGGUUCAAGAGCUUGCAGGUUGGAUGCGUGGAGGUGCUGGGAUAGUGGCAUCUUAGAGAGGAAUGUGAUGAUCCCAGGGGAGAGAUUUUGUACUGGCAUCUAUCAUCGGAGACAGCUGAAAGGUCUGGUGUAGCAACUCCCAGUCUAUAGCACCAGAUGGAAAACAUUCUUGACCCUCUCCUCCAACGACCCCUGGAGAGAGAUUCUAUACUGGCUUCCAUCAUCGGCGACAGCUGAAAGGCCUGGUGUGGCGUCCCCCAGUCUACAGCACCAGAUGGUCAACAUUCCUGACCCCCUCCUCUACAGCCCACUAGCCCUAUAUAACUGCUUCAAGAUUCUGUAUUCCCCUUAAGUUUGUUCUUUAGGACACUAGUCCACCGUCUUCCGAUUAGCUAGCUCAUCGCUUAAUAAAAGUCCUUUCUCUACCAC